CGGGGCGUGGCGCAGUCUGGUAGCGCGCCUGCUUUGGGAGCAGGAAGUCGAGUGUUCAAAUCACUCCGCCCCGACCA
rnacentral:tRNA from 1 species